rnacentral:tRNA from 1 species
GCCUGGCUGGCUCAGUGGUUGAGCGUCUGACUUUGGCUCAGGGAGUGAUCCUGGAGUCCUGGGAUCAAGUCCCACAUUGGGCU